UACAGGGGGUGCAAACGUUGCCCGGAAUCAUUGGGCGUAAAGCGCACGUAGGCGGUCUGUUAUGUCGGAUGUGAAAGCCCUUGGCUCAACUGAGGAAGUGCAUCCGAAACUGGCAGGCUAGAGUACUAAAGAGGGUCGCGGAAUUCCCGGUGUAGAGGUGAAAUUCGUAGAUAUCGGGAGGAACACCGGUGGCGAAGGCGGCGACCUGGGUAGAUACUGACGCUGAGGCGCGAAAGCUAGGGGAGCAAACAGG
rnacentral:rRNA from 1 species